UACAGAGGUCUCAAGCGUUGUUCGGAUUCAUUGGGCGUAAAGGGUGCGUAGGCGGCGCGGUAAGUCGGGUGUGAAAUCUCGGAGCUUAACUCCGAAACUGCACUGGAUACUGCCCUGCUCGAGUACUGGAGAGGAGAUUGGAAUUUACGGUGUAGCAGUGAAAUGCGUAGAUAUCGUAAGGAAGACCAGUGGCGAAGGCGAAUCUCUGAACAGUUACUGACACUGAGGCACGAAGGCCAGGGGAGCAAACGGG
rnacentral:rRNA from 1 species